GGGAUUAUAGUAUAUUUAUAUUAUGUUUUCUUUUCGUGAAGAAGAAUUGUAGUCUUA
rnacentral:tRNA from 1 species